GACGAACGCUGGCGGCGUGCUUAACACAUGCAAGUCGAACGAGGCCCCUCCUUCGGGAGGGUGUCCUAGUGGCGAACGGGUGAGUAACACGUGGGCAACCUGCCCCCGGCCCUGGGAUAACCCCAAGAAAUUGGGGCUAAUACCGGAUAUGACCGCUGACCGCAUGGUCUGGUGGUGGAAAGAUUUUUUCGGCUGGGGAUGGGCCCGCGGCCUAUCAGCUUGUUGGUGGGGUAGUGGCCUACCAAGGCGACGACGGGUAGCCGGCCUGAGAGGGUGACCGGCCACACUGGGACUGAGACACGGCCCAGACUCCUACGGGAGGCAGCAGUGGGGAAUAUUGCGCAAUGGGCGGAAGCCUGACGCAGCGACGCCGCGUGGGGGAUGACGGCCUUCGGGUUGUAAACCUCUUUCAGCAGGGACGAAGCGAAAGUGACGGUACCUGCAGAAGAAGCACCGGCCAACUACGUGCCAGCCGCCGCGGUAA
rnacentral:rRNA from 1 species